UCCAUAUGCAGCAGGUGUGGCUCUAAAAAGACCAAAAAAAAAAAAAAAAAAGAAAGAAAGAAAAAAGAAAAAUCACUUUCCAUCCUCACGACAAGUCCAUAGAGGAGAUAUCGUCAUUUUCCUUCCUGGGGACUAGGAAGACAUAUCUGGGGCAGUGAAACGUCUGGCCCAAGGUCCCACAGCUGUAAAUAGUGGCUGGAUUUGAACCCAGGCCUGACUCUGAAACCCUUAUGUUUCUUGCCCUGAAAAAGUCAGUCUAGUGGGCAGAACACACUACGUCUCCCUGGGUCUCCCCCACAACGAGCACCCCAGAGCCCCAGACAGGCUGCCUUCUGCUCUUCAGACUGUGGGUAUAAGGGUCCUCAGCCUUCCGAGGAUGCCAAGAACCUAGCGCCCCUGCCCCCGGUUCCCCUGCCCACCAGGACGUCCUACCCCUGCCUGGUCUGCCUUCCCCAGGGCCUUGGGCAGCUUAUUGUUCAGGCAGAACAGGCUGGGCCCCGGCUGGGGAUGUGUUUAUGCUCUUCUGCUGCCCCAGGAGUUGGCCUCAUUCUGCCCAUCUUGUCCCCACUCUGGGCCAGCCCCUCACCCACCUUGCCCUCUUCCCAGGCUCCCUCUGAGUUUACGUUUGUCUUUAAUUCACAGCUCAUUAGCAGAUCAAAGAAGACGGAGCCCCCCUAUGUCCAAGAGACCCUCAGGCAGCCCCCUCCUCACACUCUGUGAGGACCACCCCCCCUUGGCACGAGGAAAGGGGCUCCCCCUUGGUUGCUCUUUGUGAAGCGAGAGAGAGGCCGGGGUCUGGCUCCAGGUGCCCCCAUCCGUAGCUGGGCCAGAGACUGAGCUGGGGGUGGGGGCUGAGGUGGAGGGACUGGGAAGCAGCCUCAGCCCCCUCCUCCAGUGCCUGAGCAGGACAAGGACAGUUAAUUCCUCUGGUGUUAUCAGCUGGGCACAGGCGCUGGUUGCAUAGCAACCCAGAUUGCUCUCCAUCGCCAGUGCUCAAAAAGAAAAAAAAAAAAAAAUCAGCAUUUUCUCCAAUUUCACAUCAAUGAGAUGGAAAUGGGCCGGGGUAGCCCAGACUCCCUGCCCCCAGUGCGGCUCCUUUGCCGCAGGGAGUUUCUACCCAUCCCCCCAGGUAGGGACCCCACUCCUAAGUCCUGCAUCUCCCUCUUGCCUCCCCCAGACCAGACUGGGUGUAGGAAUCCCCCAACCACACUACCCUACAGUAGUAUGCAGCUGGGUCAGGAGCUAAGUGGGUUUGAGCAAGGGAAUGCUGGGCAGGCUGGGAACCCUUGUGAUAGAAUCUGAGCUGUAGGAGCCCCAGCCAGUCCUGGCAAUGGCCUUGAUUUAUUCAUUCAUUAAGAAAUAUUUACUGAGCACCUACUGGUUGCCAUAACCCUAAACUCCCCAGGUUUGGCAGGUUAAAGAUGGCUACAAAUUCUUUGCCACUCCUCUCACGGAGGUGAAUGGCUAUUUCCCUUCAGGCCUGGCUCUGUAGCCUAUGUGACAGUAGUGAUACUGUGUAACUCUAUGACUGGGUCCUAAGAGAUUAAUAGCUUCUGCCUUUGUCACUUGAAAUGCUUCUUCUUGGAACCCAACCACCACGAUGAGAGGAAGCUCAAGCAGACACAUGGGAAGGCCUUCCUGAAAUCCGUAUCAUUUGCCAGUCACAUGAGAAACUCAUAUGUUGGCAUGUAAAGCAGAAGAAUCAUCCAGGGAACGCCACCAAACCCUCAGCCCACAGAAUCAUGAGCAAAUAAAACUGUUCUUGAUUUAAGCUGCUCAGAAAAUCAGCCUUUAAUGACCUCACCUGAUACACCCCUUCCAGGCCUGGAUUUUAAGUCCUCUGCACAGGUUAGUGCUAUGUCCUGGCUUUAAAGAUGUAAAUCCUGCUGGGAGAAGGGCAGGCCCUCUUGAGUCAUAUUUCAGUUCUGCUUUGACAAAGAAAAAAGUAGCAGCUUGGUGCUGAUGUGUCUUUAACAUGCCCUAACACUGCCUAUCUCCUUUUUUACAAAAAAAAAAAAAAAAAAAAAUCAGCCUUGUCUGGCCUGAAUUUAGCAGCAUUGUGGUGUUUUCAUUGUGUUUAUAGGUAUUUUACAUUUAUGGCCAAAGAUAUUGGUUGUCCAUUUAGGGCAGUAAAAUGAAUCCCUUUUUUUUUUUUUAAUUAAAAAAAAUUUAUGGCUGCACCUAUUGCAUAUGGAAGCUCCCAGGUCAGGGGUCCAGCAAUUGAAUCUGAGCUGCACCUGCAGUAACGCUGCAUCCUUUAAGGCACUGCGCCGGGCUGGGGUCGAACCCGAUCCUCUGCAACAACCUGAACCACUGCAGCUGGAUUCUUAACCCGCUGCAGAACUCCUAAAUUCCCUGUUAAAUAAAUGUGAAAAUAGUAUAUAGUAAUAGUUGAAAUUUAGUAAAGUAGUUGAAAAUAGCAAAAAGUUAAGAAAAAUAUUAAGCAAAUAAUAGCGUGGAUGGCACCCAGAUAGAGCAUAAAUUUUGACAGUGAUUUGUAGAUGAUUAAAGUAGGGCACGUGGCCUUAAUCCAGAGGGCAAGAAGGUAGAGCCUUUAGAAAGAGGCCUGGAGGAAAUGGGGGGCUAUGGGGGCCCCUUAGUGCCAUGUAACCCAGAACUGGGAUCAGCCAGGCCACCGUCCAUUUUCCCAUAGGUGUCCUGUCAAAGAUAAACAAGGCCGGACACUGGCUAAACAUGGUAAGGCUGGUUUUUAGGAGGUGAUGUACCAUCGCCUUGGGGAAGAGGGUCCAGUGUGAACCAAACUCAGCUCUGGUUUGUACAGAGGGGCUGGUCAUGUUAAAGGGAGGAUGAGGGGUAAGUGGGGCCUCAGUGGAGUCACUGAAAAUUUAUGAGAAGUGGGGAGGGGGAGUUGGUCCAUGAGAAACCAUCUGGGUUUGUUCCUACCCUCCCGCAGAGGCUGGGAGACAGUGGCCCCAUCGUCUGGUGUUGGCUGGAAGAAACGGCUAACUCAUUGGGCAGCCUUGAGUUUUCUCAGGCAGGCACUGUAUGUCAGGUCCAAGGUCAUCCUGGGGAAGUGGCCUUGAGCUGUUAGAAACUGUGUUAGUGUUUGUUCUAGUCUUUAUAGGCCAAGGUUGAAGCCUCGCUGAGAAGAGGCCUCAGAAAAGCCCUGCUGGAGUUAAGGAGAGAAUUUUGUCACCUCCAAGAGGGUCCCAGGGCAGCCAAGCCAGCACCUGUGCUCGGCAGGAUAUGUGGGUGGAGGCAUUGUCCCAACUCCCAUUUAUCCUCACUGGGUUCCCACUGUGUUUACUGAAGUUCUUCUGGGAGUCCAGGGGUUGAAAGUGGGGAUGGAGGUGGGGGUGAAAGGGACACAGGUCACCCCCUGAGACAACUUCCAGAGUGUUUUAUUUAAAAAAAAAUUAUUAAAGUGCAGUUGAUGUACAACAUCAUGAACAGCAAA